CUCUUCCAAGCUCCUGAAAUUCAUCUCUUCUACAGCAACAAAAGAAAACCCAAUUCAACACGAUCAAUACAUAGAUAAUAUCCAAUAUCGAAAUCAGAAACCAAAGCCAAAAUUCUACCUGGGUUUGGGAAUUGAUGGUUAUCAGAUUAUGGGUCGUCUUCAAAAAAGUUGGAGCAAUAAUUGGAGAACAGAAAGCCAGAGAUUCUGCGGCUGGGGUUGACUGUAAUUUGUGGAAGCGAAGAAAAGGAUAAAAAUUUCAAGAUGGGAUUUGGUGUUUUCUUUCAACUCCUCACCUAAAGCUGGUUUUGAUGUGGUUGAAGACCCAACAUAAGGUGAAUGGUAGCUGUCUGUGGAGAAAUCAGAGUAAGUUUGGGGUCUCGUCUCCCUCCACAGGACUUAAAAAUACAGGAUUUUUAAUCAUCCUGUCCUUCGUUCUGUGGUGAGUGACGGAG
rnacentral:misc_RNA from 1 species